UACAGAGGUCCCAAGCGUUGUUCGGAUUCACUGGGCGUAAAGGGUGCGUAGGAGGCUGGGCAAGUCGGAUGUGAAAUCUCACCGCUUAACGGUGAAACUGCAUUCGAUACUACUUAGCUAGAGGAUCGGAGGGGAGAGCAGAAUUCUUGGUGUAGCGGUGAAAUGCGUAGAUAUCAAGAGGAAUACCAACAGCGUAGGCAGCUCUCUGGAAGAUUCCUGACUCUGAGGCACGAAGGCCAGGGGAGCAAACGGG
rnacentral:rRNA from 1 species